UGAGCUUGUUCUUUUCGAAGGCUUAAGUACCACUUAAGCUCCUAAUUAGAAAAGAGGGGGCUCA
rnacentral:ncRNA from 1 species